AGAGUUACCGUAUUUGUUAUAAUUGUUACACUUUUUAUUUAGAGAAAAUUUAAUUAAAAUUUUAAGUGCCAAAUAAUUUUUUUUCAUUGUAUAAAUUGAAAUUAUUGUAAAUUAUUUGCACUUUCAUUUUGCAUAACACUUUUGCUACGAGUGUGUUUUGUUGUGUGUUAUAUUUGUGCAGUACAAAUACUAAAAUGUGUAAGAGGUCAGCAGCAAAAGUAACUUAAAAUCUUUAUAAUCUAAGGUUAAUAAUAAAAUACAACAUACUGUAAGUAUGUUUUAGUGCUUAAUGUGAAAAAGUACCUUGACUGCCUAAUUUGCACUUUUCAUCUAAUGGUUUGAUCAUGCGGCUCGGGUGACUUCAAUGAUAAACACUCAGGUGGCAAUUGGUUCUUUCCCUCCAUGUAUUUAGUCUUGCUGUUCACCUGUAUCGUCAAUAGAAGUGAACAUUUUGUUCCCUUGAAAUUUCAUUUUCAUUCAUUCAUUUUCCUUGAUUGGAAAAUUACUAUCGUCAACUUGUUGUGAACAAUAUACAUUCACAAUAGUUGAUUUUGCAUGGAACAGCUGUUCAAUAUUUACAAAAUUUCAUUUACAAAUUUCACAACAGUGAACGAAAAAAGUGAACACAUUGCGGAGUGACAAGUAGCAACAUGUUUCUACGACAAUUGGAUCUCUGAUCUGGAACGAUUCGAUUUACAAUCGACUAAAUAUUGUCAACUCAGCAAUAGCUGUAUCAAUCGAAAGAACAUCCAGACACAGACAAUCUGUUACAACAAAAACAGGUAGCAACAAUAUCAACCCUGACAAGCGGAACGAAAAAAGUGAACACAUUUCACGUGAAAUGAUGAUUGGCGGUUUCUUGCCACGUUGCGGAGUGACACCGAAAGAACAUCCAGUCACACAGCCAAUACGUAACAACAAAAACAAGUCGCAACAAUACCCAGCAGUUCGACGGGACAGUUCCUAACUGACCACUUAACCUACCACUUGUGGUGGCCCCUAUACCUGACAAGCGGGGAAGUGUUUGUCAAAUCAAAAAACAGGGUUAACGAAACCCCAACAAACGUACCAUACAAAUCCAUAAUCUUUAUAUAACAUCGAGAUGGACCAUCCUUCAAUGAUCCUCUCAGGCUGAUUUUCGCCCCACAUUUGAACAACCACACCACAAGGCUCUGUUGUUUCGGUAACAUCACAUAGUGAUGUAUUUGGUAGUAUGAAAUAAUUAUCCAAUAGAUCAGGAUCCAUCUGUGAACAUUUUGUUCCCUUGAAAUUUUCAAUUCCCUCGAAGGGAAAAAUUUCUAUUCUGGUUGUAAACAAUUCAUUCACUAUAGUUGAUUUUGCAUGGAACAUAUGUUCAAUAUUUAUAAAAUUCCAUCAACAAAUUUCACAAAAGGGGGAAUAUUUUUCAAGACAAAAAAGUUAGUGAACGAAAGAAGUGAAAAGGAAACAUAUUUCACGUGAAAUGAUGAUUUGGCGAUAGAGGUGAAUAUGACAAAGGAUGUAUGAAGUUAAUCUAAUGCCCAAGUUGAGUUAUAAAGUUAUCAGCUCAGGCUGAUUUUUUGCCAUGCUUUAUGUAUAGAAGAGAGAACAAACUCCCCGGGUAGGUAUUUAUUAUUCAGAAUAUGAAAAUGGAUGUAUGAAUUUAAUCCAAAGCACCGACAAGUUAAGUCAUAGGGUUCACUUUACGAAAUUGUUCAUUUUAUUCGAUUUUUAUUUACAAAGUAGAUUCUUCGACUUUUUCUUAAUAUAAUGAAUUAUUUGAACGAACAUUUGGUAGUCUGAAAUAUAACUAUUCAAUAGAUCAGGAUCCCUCUGUAUGUCGAGACAUUUUGCCCCGGCAGUUUAUUCUCUUUUACAUGCUUUAUAUAUAGAAGAGAGAACAAACUCCCCGGGUAGGUAUUUAUUAUUCAGAAUAGGCCUGAAUAUGACAAUGGAUGUAUGAAGAUAAUCCAAAGCCACGACAAGUUAAGUUAUAGGGCUCACUAUUCGAAAUUGUUCAUUUUAUUCGAUUUUUAUUUACAAAGUAGAUUCUUCGACAGUUUCGUUUGAGAAUGAAUUAUUUGAUAACCUUCUAAAGAACUUUUUCAGUUGCCCUCGCAUAAAUGCCACAUACCACUCGCUCACUCUAUUUACGAAAAUAACUUUGCAUGCAAUUAAGUGCCAAAGACCCCACUCACUCACACUAUGCACUUUUUUUAUUUUAUUUAUUUAAUACUUGUGUAACCCAGUUUUAUUCGUAAUUUUGCAAUUUUUUCUCUAUUUAUUGUUAACAAAAAAAAAAAAAAGCUAUACAUAUUACAAUCAAUGUGCUUGCUAGACAAUUAUUUAAAUUGUAAAUACAAUUUACUAACAGAAUCCCCAUUGCCCCUUUGAUUUUUUUAAUCGCAUUUAAUUUCAUUUUUAUUUUCACCAAUUCACCCCUGUGCCAAUUUAAAUUUUGUGGUUUGUUGCAAAUAAACUACAAUUUUUUGUUUUCUUAAUUUAUUUUAAAUUGGCAAUUUAUUUGUGCAAACUAUUUUGUUUAUUUAUAUUUUCUGUAUUUUUAACAACACCCACCCACGAAUAGAAACUGUUUUUUUUGCAUUUUUGUCACUCUAUCUGUCGGUCGUGGUUUUAUUCUUCUUUAUUAUGUUUUUAUUAUUCAAUUCUUGUUAAAUCAUUUUAGUUGCUUUGUCUUUUGACAAACUAAAAGAAAAAUUAUGCAAAAAAAAAAAAAUAAAUAAAAACUUGUCUUCAUAUGGGCCUAAAACAACUCAAAAGUGCAAAAAAAGAAGAAACCGAGAAAAAACAACAACAACUUAAAAGAAGCUAUAAUACAAAAGGAAAAAAACAAUAGAAUUUUAGUGAGACCAAAAAAAAAUAGAAGAAGCUGAAAAAUAAACUGCAGCUAAAGUCCAAAAAUAGCAAAAAGACCAGAAAAUUCUCUUUUUUGUUGUUCUUCUCUUUUUCAUUCAACAAUUUGUUUUAGUGCUAGAAUGAAAGAAAUAUAUGUAUACUUAACUUUAAAGUUGCCAUAUUUUUUUAGUUUACACAUGAAAAUAAACACAAUGUGGUAACCUUUUUAGCGGGAUUCUCUAUAAGUGCAGUAUUUUUGAGGAUAUUUGAACCCCAAAUCGGAAGAUCGGUUGUAUGGGACUAUGCUGAUUUCAAACAUUAACAAGAGGUUCCUAGAGCAUACAAAGUCAAAAAACUAUUUUUUAAGGGUUUUUAUGGGUUUUAAUUAUAGAAUUUAUUUAUUAAAUUCCUUUAUUAUUUCCCCACUAAAACCUUCACCAACUACAAAAAACCAUCUGGCAGCACUUGAUUUCCCAAAUGAAAUCGAUAAUGUAUACAAAAGACAAACGAUAGAAAGAGAUAACAGCACACAACAUACGCACAAAUGAAAAAGCAAACAGAAAGAGAAAAAACUGGCGCGAACUGAACGAAGAAAACGAGCAAGAAAAAAAAAACACAACGAAAAUGGCGAUACCGACAAACAACGAAGAACUACGAAUAGAAUGACGAAGUGAAAAAAAAAUCCAUUUUCUAAUAAUUAUUCGAAAUUACGCUUUGCCAGUGAAAUUCCUUCAUGUCUGUGUCAAGUAUAAAUUGAAUAAAAAUAGAAAAAAUCAAAGAAAAAUAAUUAAAAACCAACAAAAAAAGGAAAAUUACAAUUGAAAAGUAAUUGUGGAAAAACAAAUAAUU